UUCUCGACAGAAGCCCAUAUUAUCGCUCACAGUCACAGUUGACUUACGUCUGACUUGGGGUUUCUUCCGUCACAACCCGAGGCUCGAUAGCCUUCAUAGAUCUGAAAAGUAUGUUUCAAGUGUGACCGUUCAUCUCUCAAACUGUACAAAUUUAUGCCAAACAUUGUUCUCGUCAUCGUUGUCAUCAUCAAGACUCCGGAAUGGGCUCUGCAAUGCAAUCUUUGCACCAUCGGUACAAAUCUGAUCAGUGCACACAUUCGGAUUAAUUAUUUUGUCAUUUGUUUGUGUGUGUUCCAAUUCGACGAUUCAAGUGUUUUUUUUUUGACAUAUGAUAUCUACCAACGAUGGACAUUGUAGUGUUGGUGAAAUUAAACUCACUUUUGAACUUGCACCUAAA